GUUUAUACAGUUCAAACCCACUAUUCAUAAUGACUGUGAAUUACAAGACAGCAAGACAAGUCUAAUUGAACUUAGAAUGGGCAGCUAUAAACCUAUAGCUCCACUAACAAACCUCUGAUUGCUCCUGGAGAAGAAAGAAGUACAGUUGGAGAAAGCAGAGCAAAAAGCUGAAAGCUCAGAAACAGCUGCCGUGCUCACUGGAUAGUAAGCGGAGUGAGCAGCAGUAACUGAUACAGAGAAAACUAACAAGAGCACUGAAUAUUUAUUGAGUGUCUGGUGAAGAAAGAGGACAAAAGUUGGAACCGGCCGGGAUACAGAAUUCAAAGAAUAACUUAGGAUUUGAACUACUUUGUUUAUGAGACUGCAGUUAUUGCAGUUAGAACUGGGAACUCAAUACAGUGAGCUGAGCAUACAUACACUACAUACGAAUAAGAAUUACCAACAAUUUCAAAUUCUUCCAGAUCUGAAAAGACUCUUCAGAAGCAAGAUUCUGUAAAAAUAAGAAAUCAAGUGAAAAAAAAUAAUUAAGUUUUUUGUGUUAAAUAUUUAUAUUUUUU